rnacentral:lncRNA from 1 species
AGAUACCAUAGUGAGAAAGGAUUCAUUUCGCAACACCUACGGCUUCCACUAGAUGUCAACGAUCUUUAUAAAGUUGUUUGAAGCGUCUAUGAUAAACAGAGAGAAAAUUAGAAUCCAAGGAAGUUGACAUGUCAUCACUUCAUUUUUUUGCGCCUGCGCAUAAAUCUGAGAGACAAACCACAUUUGUUCCGGACCUGGAAUGCCUUCCGGACCUGGGAUCCUGCCUUCUGAUGGAGAUAAUCAAAGAGUGCGAGCUGAUCAAGGGGUCAAAUGUAGAUAUUGCCAGAUGUUCACUGUCCAAGGAACAGGCCAUAGAAGCUUUAUUGCUGGCAAAAGUGUCCAUAACCAGAGGCAACAGCUCUACAAGGCAUUGAGGGGAAAAAUCAACACAACAAAAAGAGCGGUGAGCAAAGGCCUUCUCUCCUUCCACUUCUUUCCAGAUGCCGCUGUGCCGGAGUAUCCAAAGUCACAGGUAAUUACCUUAUCACCUGGCUUGACAGUCCUGAGGGUGCUGAGCCACAGAGUGUGAGCAUCAACCACACACUGAGAGCACUCACCCCUGCUCAGAACUGGCAAAGGACAUUCAAAAGCUGAAAACACUUUUAAGUACACACUCGGUGUAUAACCCCACCCCCCCCCACACACACACACAGGAGAAAAAACUAUUUUUAAAACUUGUUUAUGAUGGAGCUGAGAGAGCUACAGUUGCAG